GAGGUGUGAGAGCGGCGUGAUUUAUAUAUGAGAGUGGAAGUUAACGUGCGUGUGUGUAGGAUCGCCCGUUGUUUGAACACGGACAAAUCUAAUUUAUUAAUCUAUGACUGAUAGAGGGACUGAGUUUGUUGAAGCCACCGCCAUCCCUAAAAGCAAUGGGUGAUUAUAGAUCGGUCCGGCUGAGCCGCCUGUAGCCGCUAGUGGCCGCCUAAGUUAGUGAAUACUAGAAGCGACCUAAAUUAGGCGUUCUAUCUCCUCGCACGUCGAGUAGAACACCGGUAGCUUCGUGUGGGAUAACCCUCAAAAGAUGUUCGCUAGGUUUAAGAUAGACGGCGACCGGCUACCUAGUCUCUCGUGUUGUGCUACAACUAACCUUAGUCUCUAGACUUCUCACCGUAUACUUAUAUACUAGGGAAAGUCCUCUGCCCAGAGUUAUAGCAAACGGCUGCAAUUAAGACACUUGCCUUCUUAUAAACACACGAGACACCAACAAAGAUAUCUGAACACCGGCUGCCGGAGAUCUUACCUUCUUAGUCAAGUCACCGAAGACCACCAGCUACCUCCGUUGUAGUGAGCGCCACACGAACAAUUAGAGGUUGCUUAAGAGUGCCAGUAUACCGGUCGCCGCGGGUCGAUCGGCAUUUGGACUAAUCGUAUGAAGGAUUAAUGAGGACAAUCACAUAUUUACUAUUUUACAUAUCAAAACACAUGUUGACAACAGAGCACCAUAUGGGUUGUUUUCCUCGUCAUCGAGGCUAACGAUUUGAUGACACAUCUUUUGAUGAUUAAACUAAGUUCGAUCUCCUAGGAUGGACAAAUCAACAGCUUCUCACGUG
rnacentral:rRNA from 1 species